UGGAAGUCCACUGUCGCUCAGGACUAUCGGUUACAUUUUACUGCGCCUUGCAGACGGGUGAAGAGGAAGUCAAAGACUGCCUGUCUGAAUGGUACAUCCUCAGUCCAGGGGCUUCCAAGCCUUCGCUGGAAGUAAGUGAGACAGCACAAUAUACAGAUCGCGUACGUCUUACAGAUCUGGGUAAUUACUCCAUCCUGAGCCUUACAGACCUCCAUGUGAACGACAGCAACACCUUCUUCUGCCAGAUGACGUGCACAAAUGAACGCCACAACAUCCGCACAGGCCACUGGGGAAGUGGAAGUGUUCUGAACAUCACGGAGCCGCCUGAAAGCAGCAGAGUUCUUUCUGCUCUGUGGCCUCUCAGUGGUGUGGUGGGUGUACUCGCUGUUUGCCGUGAAUGGGCUCGUGCUGCUUGGGGUCAUCGCGCUCUGCCCUGCCGUCCUGCGGAGGACACCGUGGUGCCGACGCCAACAACCCGCGCUCUACGCCAAGCCCUUGAAGACAAGAGCCAGAUGACAUGGGCCAAGUAAACAAACAAGGAUCAUGCUAGGGGACAUCUUCAAUUACAAUUACAAUACAGCCUCUGCCACAGAGCUGCCCUCCACCAGCCCACUUCCCCACACGACCAGACGCUCUGUGUGCUCCUGUCUGCUGUUUCUGCUGGCCUGCCUUCACUGUCAUUGAGCAGACACUCAGAGCCUUGCAGAACCAACCCCCCCCCCCAUCCACCGAUGUCCUGUUUUGAUGGGUGAGAAAAUGAUGUGCUGUGUACCUGUUGUUCUUAAAGUGAAUAUGUUUAACCAUAGCUUGAAGGCUGAAACUGAACACAUGUAUGAGUGAAAGACAUAUAAUUGUCAGUAAAAACUACAAAGAACAAUCAGACACCUCAUGACUCAGU
rnacentral:lncRNA from 1 species